rnacentral:tRNA from 6 species
ACGGGCGUAGUUCAGUGGUAGAGCGUUGGUCUCCAAAACCAAAUGUCGGGAGUUCGAAUCUCUCCGCCCGUGCUA